GCGGGUUAUACUAUUUGUCUGAACUCUGUAGUCGUCUCGGGUCCGCCGCCGUUUCCGUUGUCGUCAUAUCAUUUUGGAUUUCGAUUGCGCAUCGACUUACGUUUACGAGCACCGGAGCACUUAAUAUUAUGUAAUAAUAUCACGUCAUUAUAGGUAUGUCAAGGCGCGUUGAGUAAUAAAUUCAUAAUUAUUGGUGCAAGUUUGCGACGUGGUGCGAUUCGGCCGAUUUUUAAUUAAUAAUAAUUUAUUAUCGAUAUCGACAAUAAUUGAGCGUGGGUGCAACAGUGGAUCUGCAAUCCAGACUACUACUACUACUACUACUACUACUACUACUACUCGUGUGAUUCGACUGAUUCGAGUGCCUACACGUGACAUCUGUACGUACGACGGGCGUUUUGGAUUUCGUCUUCGUCUCACCCAAGACGUGGUUACGUCCAUACCAAUUUUGCGGUCCACCGUGGUCAGCGUUUAAAUUACCUUCCACUUCAUCUAUUCCGGCUGUGAGGCAUCGAAAGAAUAAUUCAUCUAUUCCGGCUGUUAAGCAUCGAAAGAAAAACUGAUAUCGUAGACUCUGCAGCACUUACC